rnacentral:lncRNA from 1 species
UGGGCCCACAUGGGCCCGCAUUAUGAGCCUUGGGCCCAUUUGUAUGUUUGACUGAUAAGGUUGCACGAGUUGCCCAAUAUGACUAUGGACCUACUAUUGGGUCGGUAAGUAUACCUAGACCCCAAAUUAAUUAAAUGAUUAUUUUGCCCUUAUAUGGUAAAAUGACUAUUUUGCCCUUAUAUGGUAAAAUGAUAGUUUUGCCCUUUUGAGGUAAAAUAACUGUUUUGCC